UUAGGUUCAUCUUAACCUAGAUCCGGCCCGAAAUAAUAAUUGGGUCUAUUUUUGAGACUCUUAUUCGAUCUUAGACUCAGUAAAUUUACACCAAAUUAAUCUUUAACAUAUUCAGAAUCGGACCGAAUCAUACGCACCCCUACAAAAAAGAAUGUUUCGUUUAUUUGCUCUCACAUGUGUCAAUCACAUAAAGCAUGACAAUUUUUAGAUAUAUCCACUCAUAGUUUUUACCUAUUAAAACUUUUCAUCCUAAAAAAUCAUGUAGUUAUUUUCCUUAAAAAAGCUACUACCUUUUGAAAUUCUUUAGAUUUCAAAUUAAAUGUCUAACAUCAAAAGUCUCAUCCUUAUCCUGUGUAAUAUGUAUGUUUGGUUUUGGCAUGACCAUCCUUAUCCCUUACAUGUACUUAUACAUAGCUAUUCAAUCAUCACCUUUUUAUAUAGAAAAAAUAAUUAGCAAAAUUCUAUAACUACCACCAUGCAUGUCUUGUCGAUUCAAUUCACUAUUGUAUCAUCAUCAAUAAGAGAUAGAGUAUGGACAUCUGGUACAUUUUGAUAAGACUAAACGGGACACAAUCUUUGUUCCCUUCUUUCAUCUAAGCUUUGAGAAAAAGAAGGAAAUUAAAUUGAAGAUCAAAGAAUGAAGAAUAACCCACGUGUGCAUAUGUUAAAGAGUAUAUGCCUAUGCAAAAAUUUCUUGAAGAUAGGGCAUGUUAUCAGGAUUCAGUGCAAGACUUGGAUAUGGAAGAUAUUGAUUUUGACAAAAUGAAUUUAGAUGCCCAAGAAGAUGAUGAUGACAUAGAAGAUUGGUAGAAAUUCUACAAUUAUUGAGGUUGACAUUUUAUUGUCGAUUGAUGCUCAAGGACUAUGAAAAAUGAUAAGUUUUGUGAGUCAUUUUUGUGAUCACUGUGAUGUAACAUAUGUGUCAGGUGGUAAAGUGUUAGUUCAAUUUCCUCGAUAAAAUUUACUAUGUCAAGCAUAGAUUCCAAUUUACCAUGUCAAGCAUAGAUUACCAGGUCUAUGCUUUUGUUUGUGCUCAACUUUUAGAUUUAAACAUGUUUUCUUCUAGUUUUUAGCCGUUUUUUCGAUUCUACUUUCUCAGUUUAAAAGAUAUAGAUAAAGAAUUUGGCUAAAUGUAUUCUAUAUUUUUUUAUGCUUCGUGGACUCAAUUUUUUGGAUAUGUAAAUUUUGUGUGUGUUGUGCAUGGUUAUGGAAGUGGGUGGUAUUAGACAUGAAUGUAGGGACAGUUUUUUUCUGAACUAUA